UACGUAGGCAGCAAGCGUUGUUCGGAAUUACUGGGCGUAAAGCGUGUGUAGGCGGUUGGGUAAGUCUGGUGUGAAAUCUCCCGGCUCAACUGGGAGGGUGCGCCGGAAACUGCCUGGCUAGAGUGCGGAAGAGGAGAGUGGAAUUCCUGGUGUAGCGGUGAAAUGCGCAGAUAUCAGGAAGAACACCCGUGGCGAAGGCGGCUCUCUGGGACGGUACUGACGCUGAGACGCGAAAGCGUGGGGAGCGAACAGG
rnacentral:rRNA from 1 species